UACAGAGGUCUCAAGCGUUGUUCGGAUUCAUUGGGCGUAAAGGGUGCGUAGGCGGUGCGGUAAGUCGGGUGUGAAAUCUUGGAGCUUAACUCCGAAACUGCAUUCGAUACUGCCGUGCUUGAGGACUGGAGAGGAGACUGGAAUUUACGGUGUAGCGGUGAAAUGCGUAGAUAUCGUAAGGAAGACCAGUGGCGAAGGCGGGUCUCUGGACAGUUCCUGACGCUGAGGCACGAAGGCCAGGGGAGCAAACGGG
rnacentral:rRNA from 1 species